AGGCUGUCCUGGCCCAGGGAGCAGGAGCUGGCACUGCCUGGUGUGGCUGGGCUCUGAUGAGCUGGGCAGCCUCUGGACGUGGCCUGGCAGACACUUCCACCUGGGAAUGCCUCAGCUGCUGCCCUGGAGGAGCAUGGCAGGCUGCAGCCAGAACCACUGCGCUCAUCCAGGCAGCAACAAACUCCUGGGAAGGAUUUGAAGGCAUUCAUCUGGCAGGUUUGGAAAGGUGGUGAUGGUGCUGCUCCCACUGAAACAGCACGGGGAUGGCUCCAGUGCUGGGGGGGAGAACCAGGCUGGAGUGAGAGCUGAACAAAGACUCAGAGAAAUUUGGAUUAAAUAUCCCUAAAGACGCACUGAGCACCUGUUGGCUGCAUCAGCACCUGCACUGCUGCUGCUGAAGAUGCCCAUCCUUACUCCAUCAGCGCUCCCGAGGCUCUGCCAGCUCAGUAACCACAGAAGUCCCUGGCUGCCCCUGAGGUGCCAUGUGCUGUGUGAAUGGCAGAAUUCACAGAGUCACCUGAGACAGGU